rnacentral:rRNA from 1 species
AUUGAACGCUGGCGGCAGGCCUAACACAUGCAAGUCGAGCGAAUGAAGGAGGCUUGCUCCUGGCUUCAGCGACCGACGGAUGGGUAAUGACUAGGAAGCUGACUGGUAGUGGGGGAUAAGGUAAGGUAACGGACGCUAAUCCCGCAUACGUCCUGAGGGAGAAAGGGAUGGAUCUUCAGACCUCACGCUAUCAGAUGAGCCUAGGUCGGAUUAGCUAGUUGGUGGGGUAAAGGCGUACCAAGGCGACGAUGCGUAACGGGUCUGAGAGGAUGAUCAGUCACACUGGAACUGAGACACGGUCCAGACUCCUACGGGAGGCAGCAGUAGGGAAUCUUGCACAAUGGGCGAAAGCCUGAUCGAGCCACGCCGCGUGUGUGAUGAAGGUCUUCGGAUUGUAAAGCUCUGUUAGUUGGGAGGAAGGAAAGUAUGUGUAUCUCUUCACGUCUUGACGUUACCUACAGAAUAAGCCACGGCUAACUUCGUG